UAUAUAUAUAUAUAUAUAUAUAUAUUUUAGAGAUAGGUAGCACGCUACCCGCUUCGUUUAUUUUAUUUAGAAAUAAACUUAGCUGAAAAAUGUGAAUCAACUAGGAUUCGAACUUGGAUCUCGGACACCAAUCACCAAACCCUUUGCCACUUGCUCUAGGGACGGUAUUAGAAAAAUGUAAACGAGGGUGGUGUAGCAUUGAAAGUAGAGUGCUUUCUUAUAUGUAAGAGGUGUAGAAUUUAAUUUAAUAAUAAUUAUCAUGUUUGAAAUAAAAAUUAUUUAAAUUUACAUAUAUAUAUAUAUAUUUAAAGUUAAUUUAGAUUAAAUUAUAAUCAUAAAUUUAGAUUUGAAAUAUAAAUUUAGGUAUGAUUGCUUUUUGUAUGAAGAUAAAGAGGACGUUAAUAUAUUUUGCGGGGGAUUAAAUUGUUUAUUGUAUUUUUCGUUUA
rnacentral:lncRNA from 1 species